UACGAAGGGGGCUAGCGUUGCUCGGAAUCACUGGGCGUAAAGGGUGCGUAGGCGGGUCUUAAGUCAGGGGUGAAAUCCUGGAGCUCAACUCCAGAACUGCCUUUGAUACUGAGGAUCUUGAGUUCGGGAGAGGUGAGUGGAACUGCGAGUGUAGAGGUGAAAUUCGUAGAUAUUCGCAAGAACACCGGUGGCGAAGGCGGCUCACUGGCCCGAUACUGACGCUGAGGCACGAAAGCGUGGGGAGCAAACAGGG
rnacentral:rRNA from 1 species